rnacentral:misc_RNA from 1 species
ACCAAGAUGAAGGCGGUUCGCCGCUUCUUCGAGGAAGGCGACAAGGUCAAGCUGACACUGCGUUUCCGCGGCCGCGAGAUGGCGCACAUGGAACUCGGCAUGCAACUUCUGAACAAGGUGCGCGAGGAAGUCGCGACCAUCGCCAAGGUCGAGGCGGAACCGAAGCUUGAAGGCCGCCAGAUGAUGAUGGUGCUGUCGCCUCGCUAGGUCACGAUGACGUCAGGCUUGUUAUCGCGCUCCAAAUCCGCCUGAAUUGUGCUACAGGGCGUCCCGGCGAUCGGCGGGA